rnacentral:rRNA from 1 species
AUUGAACGCUGGCGGCAUGCCUUACACAUGCAAGUCGAACGGCAGCAUGGAGAGCUUGCUCUCUGAUGGCGAGUGGCGAACGGGUGAGUAAUGCGUCGGAACGUACCGUGUAAUGGGGGAUAACGUAGCGAAAGUUACGCUAAUACCGCAUACGACCUGAGGGUGAAAGCAGGGGAUCGCAAGACCUUGCGUUAUACGAGCGGCCGAUGUCAGAUUAGCUAGUUGGUGAGGUAAAGGCUCACCAAGGCGACGAUCUGUAGCGGGUCUGAGAGGAUGAUCCGCCACACUGGGACUGAGACACGGCCCAGACUCCUACGGGAGGCAGCAGUGGGGAAUUUUGGACAAUGGGGGCAACCCUGAUCCAGCCAUGCCGCGUGAGUGAAGAAGGCCUUCGGGUUGUAAAGCUCUUUCGGCCGGGAAGAAAUCGCACAGGCUAAUACUCUGUGAGGAUGACGGUACCGGCAUAAGAAGCACCGGCUAACUACGUGCCAGCCGCCGCAGUAA